rnacentral:rRNA from 1 species
GGUUAAAACGCUCGUAGUUGGAUAUCUGUGAGCGGGUUCCGGUCCUUCCCAGUGAAGAUUACACGGAACUCUGCUCGCAUUUGUUCAGGGAGGGUGGAUGCACUUCACUGUGUGACCACAUGAUCUGAAUUUUUACUUUGAGGAAAUGAGAGUGUUCCAAGCAGGCAAUUGCCGUGAAUAUGAUAGCAUGGAAUAAUAGCACAGGACUCUUGGUUCAAUGCUGUUGGUUUGUUGAACUAGAGUAAUCACAAUAAGGAUAGUUGGGGGUAUUCGUAUUUAACUGUCAGAGGUGAAAUUCUUGGAUUUUUUAAAGACGAACAAUUGCGAAGGCAUCUACCCAGGAUGUUUUUGUUGAUCAAGAACGAAAGUUAGGGGAUCGAAGACGAUCAGAUACCGUCCUAGUCUUAACCUUAAACUAUGCCGGCUGGAGAUUGGAGUCGUCAGAUUUGUGACGUCUUCAGCAUCCUAUGAGAAAUCUAAGUCUUUGGGUUCCGGGGGGAGUAUGGUCGCAAGGCUGAAACUUAAAGGAAUUGACGGAAGGGCACCACCAGGAGUGGAGCCUGCGGCUUAAUUUGACUCAACACGGGAAAACUCACCAGGUCCAGACAUAGAUAGGAUUGACAGACUGAUAGCUCUUUCUUAAUCCUAUGGGUGGUGGUGCAUGGCCGU